GUCGUCGUUGUCCGAAGACACAUUGGUUUUCGCACUCUAACUUUAGUUUAGGUGAAUGGAUCUCUAUGAAAUUUUACCAUAAGGUUCAAUACCACAAAAGGAAGGUUGGGAUUGAUUUUGGGGGUUAUGGUACCAACAGUUAAGGAAUUAGGGGCCAAAAAGGGGCCAAAAAUAAGCAUUUUUGUAACUUCCAGACAUAACUUGUGUGUUAGUGUAUGGAUCUCUCUGAAAUUGUACUACAAGGUUCCAUUUCACAAAGGGAAAGCUGGGUUUGAGUUUGGGGGUAAUUGCCCUAAAAGUUUAGGAAUUAGGGGCCAAAAAAAGGGCAAAAAACAAGCAUUUUUCUAGUUUCAUGACAAUAACUUGUGUUCAAGUGUAUGGAUCUCUCUGAAAUUGUACUGCAAGGUACCAUACCACAAAGGGAAGGCUGGGAUUGAGUUUGGGGGUGAUGAAUCAUAAGGGGAUUCAAAAAAUUUGGGGAGGGGGAUUUUUUUUUUUUUUUUUUUUUAUUUUUUUC